rnacentral:snRNA from 1 species
AGAUGUGAGGGUGGUCUGGCUGCGACAACUAUCACCCCACUGAUCAUCAGGGCUGAUUCGGGUGAUCUGGCUGGCUAGGCAGGUGUCCCCUUCCUCCCUCUCCGCUCCAUGUGCUUCCCUCCCGAAGCUCGGUCGAAGACGAUGACCUUCCUCGAUAGAGGAGGACCGUGCUUCCCCAUCAAGGGUAUAUGAGUAUCUGCACUCCCCUGCUAGGACCUACAAACAAGCUCUCAAAAGGUAGCAGCUGAGAAUAGAAGGAGAACUGAGACACUCUUCUAGAGUCCACAGCAAUGGGCAGGUCCUCAAGA